CUUCAUUUGGAGAUGCACUUGUAGUCUUGUGGUUUCUCUCUGAAACAGCCGUUCGAGCUUUUUUGGGAGGAGGUUUCACACAGGUAGAAAACACAGUUUGCAUCAACGAGGACACUGACUUUCCAGAUAUAUGAACUCAAGGUGAUUGAUUAUGAAAAUAUCAUCACCUGGAGGAUCGAGAUGGUCUAUCCGACAAUUGCUGAAAUCCGGGGACUGCCGGGGCUUGAGUCGUGAAGAAGGUCCCAAGGGUCAUCAUCGGAUGGGGAAACUAGGGUUUCUCUGGAGAUGUUUUGUCCCUCUGAUGGCUCAAAGUCCAAGUCCGCAUCGUCCUCUUGAGCAGCUCUGGAGUCUGACUCCUCUCCGUACCGGAGCGCGUUCAGUGGGUCUGACGGAUUCACCUGACGGUUCCUCCGCUCCCGGUGCUGCAGGCGCUCCAGUGGGACAGUGUUCUUCUCUGAUAAGAAGAGAGAUGACUGAGGGAGGUUUUGUCCAGCUAUGAACACCUGUUUUGCCCCAUCCAGGUUAAGCAGUACGCCAUGCUUGGUGGAGUAGUACACGUCACGAUUGUUCUCCAAAAGUUUGUGGUGAAAAAGACAAUCUUCUUUAUUGCAGACCGUCUAAAGACAUACAGAAAUAUACCAAUAGUAAAAUAACAAAUCCAAAGAAGGCAAAGUGUCAUGGCUAUUGUUAUGUACCAAGAGGUAUAAGGGCCAUUCACACCAAGAACUAUAACAUAAACUAUAACGAUAACAAUUGACCGUUGCCAUAUUCCCGGGUUUCUCACAAGCAGAAGUCAUCAUAGUAGGGUAAACUUCUAUAGUGAACGAGAGACUACAUUAAACAUGUUUUUCAUGUUCCCAUUUGCUCAAAUAGCAAAAAAGAAAAACUCCACAAUAGUGUUUCGCAACUUUCAAAAGAGGGGAAAAAAUAGAGAGCUGUCAAAAUUUUACCGUCACUCCCACA